rnacentral:lncRNA from 1 species
GCCUUGUUAACACAACUGAAAAGUUCAAUGCUGAUCUACUCGUGGAUGGUUCUUCCAGGUUAAUUCCUGCUGGUUCAGGUGUGACUCUCCCAUCGGUCAUUAUGGUAUCUUCAUCUCCAUAAUCGUGAUGAUAAUUUACUGGAUUCUCUUCCUGGUUUGUAGACUCAUUUGUAUCUACACAUUCAUCUUCACUUUUAUUAAAAUACUUCUGUAGCCAUCCUGGUACGAUGUUUUUCACCGAUUCCGUCAUUCUGCUAAUGAUUCCCUGCCUGCUCCUGCCGUACGGAGGCUUCGCGGCGCCCAGGUGGUACCGCCGGGUCCGGAUCUUGCCGCCGCCGCCGGCUCCUCCUCCCGCUCCUCCGCCGCCGCCCGAGGCCAUGCUGGGACGCGGCCCCUCGGCUGCCCCCCGCCCCGCCGGGCCGCUCCCCCGGCUCCGCGCUG